GCAGUGGUAGUUCAGUGGUAAAACUCUCGCCUUCCAGGUGGGAGACCCUGGACUGACUCCUGGCCAGUGCC
rnacentral:tRNA from 1 species